UACGUAGGUGGCGAGCGUUGUCCGGAUUUACUGGGCGUAAAGGGAGCGUAGGCGGGCUUUUAAGCGAGAUGUGAAAUACUCGGGCUCAACUUGAGUGCUGCAUUUCAAACUGGAAGUCUAGAGUGCAGGAGAGGAGAAUGGAAUUCCUAGUGUAGCGGUGAAAUGCGUAGAGAUUAGGAAGAACACCAGUGGCGAAGGCGAUUCUCUGGACUGUAACUGACGCUGAGGCUCGAAAGCGUGGGGAGCAAACAGG
rnacentral:rRNA from 1 species